AAGAAAUAGAGAAGAAAACGGAGGAGAGGAGGAAGAAGGGGCAGGCAGUGGGACAGGCAGUCGAGCUGGAUUUGUUUCUCAUUCGCUCUUGGCUCCUCUGGUGGAAAAAUCGAAGCGCUCCCCCUGGUACUGCUGAGGCGGAGAGGGGACAUGAGAAGCCUUUUCUGUACAUCAUCCCAUGUGGCCCUCACAGACACCCCAAGGGCAUCCAAGUGGAGGUGCCCAUGAGAUGGCUGGACGCAUGGAGGUGCCCUGGAGAAGGUGGAGAGAGAGGAAGCCGGCACAGCCUGCAAAGAGGCCAGAGAAUGAGUAGCCAGAGCCCCUGAAGCCUCACAGGAGGAGGUCUUAGACAAGGCACAGCCAACAGUGCCAAUGGCAAGAGAUGAAGCAGAGACUCACCCAGCGCUUCCAGAAGCUGGGGCAAAGAGGAGCACACACGACCACCUGCCUACUGAGCAGCUCACACUUCCUCCAAUGGAGCCACCACAAGGAAAUAUUGCUUGCUUGGUGCUAGACAAGUGCCGAAGAUGCUGUGAGAGGCAGAUAGAAGUCCCUGCUGUCACGGAUCUUAAGUUCCA